rnacentral:rRNA from 1 species
AUUGAACGCUGGCGGCAUGCCUUACACAUGCAAGUCGAACGGCAGCACGGACUUCGGUCUGGUGGCGAGUGGCGAACGGGUGAGUAAUGUAUCGGAACGUACCUUUCAGUGGGGGAUAACGUAGCGAAAGUUACGCUAAUACCGCAUAUUCUGUGAGCAGGAAAGCAGGGGAUCGAAAGACCUUGCGCUGAUUGAGCGGCCGAUUUCAGAUUAGCUAGUUGGUGGGGUAAAGGCCUACCAAGGCGACGAUCUGUAGCGGGUCUGAGAGGAUGAUCCGCCACACUGGAACUGAGACACGGUCCAGACUCCUACGGGAGGCAGCAGUGGGGAAUUUUGGACAAUGGGGGCAACCCUGAUCCAGCCAUGCCGCGUGAGUGAAGAAGGCCUUCGGGUUGUAAAGCUCUUUCGGCCGGGAAGAAAUCGCAUAGGCUAAUACCCUGUGUGGAUGACGGUACCGGAAGAAGAAGCACCGGCUAACUACGUG